GCGGUUUUGCCCGGUCGGCGCGGCGCUGGAUAGGGACUCAUAAUCCGUUGGUCGCGGGUUCGAGCCCCGCCCGCCCCA
rnacentral:tRNA from 1 species